rnacentral:rRNA from 1 species
AACGAACGCUGGCGGCAUGCCUAACACAUGCAAGUCGAACGAGACCUUCGGGUCUAGUGGCGCACGGGUGCGUAACGCGUGGGAACCUGCCCUUAGGUUCGGAAUAACUCCCCGAAAGGGGUGCUAAUACCGGAUAAUGUCUUCGGACCAAAGAUUUAUCGCCUUUGGAUGGGCCCGCGUUGGAUUAGCUAGUUGGUAGGGUAAAAGCCUACCAAGGCGACGAUCCAUAGCUGGUCUGAGAGGAUGAUCAGCCACACUGGGACUGAGACACGGCCCAGACUCCUACGGGAGGCAGCAGUGGGGAAUAUUGGACAAUGGGCGAAAGCCUGAUCCAGCAAUGCCGCGUGAGUGAUGAAAGCCUUAGGGUUGUAAAGCUCUUUUACCCGGGAUGAUAAUGACAGUACCGGGAGAAUAAGCGCCGGCUAACUCCGUG